UCGUAGUGAACCUGNGGAAGGAUAU
rnacentral:rRNA from 1 species